GAGUUAUAUAUGUGUGUGUGUGUGUGUGUGAUUGUUAGAUCUGUAGAAUUUAAUAGAUUUUAGAUUUUUAGUGGUGACCUCAUCUGGUUCCUAUGGAACACGAAAACUGGGAAGGAAAAUGAAGAGUCAAAUGCUCAAAUAUAAAAGUGCACUGUCUUCUCUUCUGGGAAACUAGCGAAUUAGGCAGGAUUGUAUAUAAUUCAUCAGAUUGUCUAUAUUUUGGCAUGAUUACCAUUUACCAGUUGGACCCCAUGAUCUGUCACUUCAUUUCAAACCAUAUUUUAUCCAUUGUUUUGUUCAUAAAUUUGUAUUUACCUAAGGCACGUUAAGCUACAUUUAUGAAAUUCUUUUGUAAAUGUAUGAUCGUCAAAUCAUAUGCAGAUCUAUUACAGUAUUUAUUGAAGGAAUUGAAUCAAUUGAUUUGGAUAACUUCUUACAAUGUGACAAUGCCCUAAAUUUAAUUUUAUUUAAAUUUGAUAAUGUGUAAGUUAAAGUAUCAUAAUGAUUAUUUAGAAAUAAAGAGCACAAUAAAUUUUGUGUCAUAUCACAAAUAUAAAGUGAUCUUAAGUAGUGUAUAAAUAUUUUCUAUAAUAUAUUUGAUUGUUGUUUUAAUGUUAGGUUUUAGCUAACUAUAAGUCGCAUAAUAUACUGUUGAAUUUUACAUUUACGUUGAUUUCGCUGGAGGCCCAAUUUAUGGAAUUCGCCUCAGGCCCUAACAAUCGCAAGACUAGCCUUGCCAAAACCCAGAAUUUCUUUUUCGAUCAAAACCCAUUUGUUUUUCUUCAUCUGACCUAAAGUAGGCUUUUCAGAACCCAAUUAGCAAAAAUUCCAGAUUUUCUGGCGCGGGGAGAUUCUGCACAAUUUGACUUGUUGAAACAGAAGAUUUUGUCAUGGGUUUAUUUUAUAGGUGUUGCAGGAGUUGUAGCUUAUGUUCUUAAUGUGGCAUGGAUUGAUGGCUCCACUGGAUUUGGUAAACCCUUCAUUGAUGUUGUUUGGAGCAUUUCCGAGAGCCCUAAGUUGAAGUACAAAUUCAAUAUGGGUUUGAAGCCUAAUUUCACAUAUUUGUCUAGAGGUUUCUAAAGAACUGGAGUGCUGAUAGUUGGAGAUUAUCGAAUUAGAUGAAAAGAGAAGCUUGUUGCAUUCAGGUGAGCUUGAAUCAAACAAGCGUCGUUUUAUUCUACAGAGUCUUCGCAUCCUCCUCUUCCGGAUUCAUGGAAACCAUUUGCGUCCAUCUCAUCCCAAUUCAAUUUUCCUGAUAAAUUCUGGUUUCUGGAAUUCUUUGUUAAUUGGUCAAAAAAUCAACCGUGCAGGUGAUAUGAGGCUUAUUGAGCGGUUGCCAGAAGCUGUUCACAGUUAAGUGCAUUCGAGGAUUGAGAUAUGUGAUUUGACACAGAUUGUGGAAGAGCUGGUGUUUUACAGUCUUGGCACAGGUGCUACCAAGAUGAUUUGACUGGGAUGCAACCACGAGCAAAGAUGAGCUUUCUUUGAGCCUGAAAUCAUCUGAGAAAGUUCUUGAGAAAUUAGAUGUUGGCCAACAAUUAGCACUGACAUUUAACAAUGAGGGUACUUUUCUUGCUGUUGGGGGUGAGGUAACGAACUAUAGAUAAGCAUACCUGGGGCAAUUUUGUUGUCAUAAUGGUGCUGAUUUAU